AGUGAACGCUGGCGGUAGGCCUAACACAUGCAAGUCGAACGGCAGCACAGUAAGAGCUUGCUCUUACGGGUGGCGAGUGGCGGACGGGUGAGGAAUACAUCGGAAUCUACUUUUUCGUGGGGGAUAACGUAGGGAAACUUACGCUAAUACCGCAUACGACCUACGGGUGAAAGCAGGGGAUCUUCGGACCUUGCGCGAUUGAAUGAGCCGAUGUCGGAUUAGCUAGUUGGCGGGGUAAAGGCCCACCAAGGCGACGAUCCGUAGCUGGUCUGAGAGGAUGAGCAGCCACACUGGAACUGAGACACGGUCCAGACUCCUACGGGAGGCAGCAGGGGGGAAUACUGGACAAUGGGCGCAAGCCUGAUCCAGCCAUACCGCGUGGGUGAAGAAGGCCUUCGGGUUGUAAAGCCCUUUUGUUGGGAAAGAAAGCAGCAGGUUAAUACCCCGCUGUUCUGACGGUACCCAAAGAAUAAGCACCGGCUAACUUCGU
rnacentral:rRNA from 1 species